rnacentral:rRNA from 1 species
UACGGGGGGGGCAAGCGUUGUUCGGAAUUACUGGGCGUAAAGGGCUCGUAGGCGGCCAACUAAGUCGGAUGUGAAAUCCCCAGGCUUAACCUGGGAACUGCAUCCGAUACUGGAUGGCUUGAAUCCGGGAGAGGGAUGCGGAAUUCCAGGUGUAGCGGUGAAAUGCGCAGAUAUCAGGAGGAACACCGGUGGCGAAGGCGGAUCUCUGGGCCUUACCUGACGCUCAGGUGCGAAAGCGUGGGGAGCGAACAGG